rnacentral:rRNA from 1 species
GAUGAACACUAGCUACAGGCUUAACACAUGCAAGUCGAGGGACCGGCGCACGGGUGUGUAACCCGUAUCCAACCUGCCCUUUACUCGGGGAUAGCCUUUCGAAAGAAAGAUUAAUACCCGAUGUAAAGGAUGGGGAUGCGUUCCAUUAGGUUGUUGGUGAGGGAACGGCUCACCAAGCCUUCGCUGGAUAGGGGUACGGAGAGGAAGCUACCCCAUAUUGGAACUGAGACACGGUCCAAAAGCCUACGGGGGGCAGGAGUGAGGAAUAUUGGUCAAUGGGCGUUAGCCUGAACCAGCCAAGUAGCGUAAAGGAUGAAGGGUUAUGGGUGGUAAACUUCUGUUAUAUAAGAAUAUGUAUUAGAUGAAUAAGGAUCGGCUAACUCCGUGCCAGCAGCCGCGGUAAUUC